GCAGUAGCUUAGUGGUAAGAGCAGUCGCCCGGCAAGCGAAAGGUCCCAGGUUCGAUUCCUGGUACUGCG
rnacentral:tRNA from 1 species